UACGUAGGGUGCAAGCGUUGUCCGGAAUUAUUGGGCGUAAAGAGCUUGUAGGUGGCUCGUUGCGUCGGGAGUGAAAACCCGCGGCUUAACCGCGGGCCUGCUUCCGAUACGGGCGAGCUAGAGUUCGGCAGGGGAGACUGGAAUUCCUGGUGUAGCGGUGGAAUGCGCAGAUAUCAGGAGGAACACCGGUGGCGAAGGCGGGUCUCUGGGCCGAUACUGACACUGAGAAGCGAAAGCGUGGGGAGCGAACAGG
rnacentral:rRNA from 1 species